UCAACUUAAAAAAAAAAAAAAAAAUCAUUAAGCAACAUGAAUGGCAUAUAAAAUUAGUGGCAGAAUAUAUAACAAUUCACAAUACCAAUUAACAACACAUACGAGAUUAUUUUUUUCCCCUCUUUAGUCAUGACCCGGUGAUGCAGGAAUGUCUUCUUGGGAUUUUGAGACUAUUUAUUUUAGGAAAAGAUAUACGAAGUAGCAUUUUAAUUUUGUGUUGAUUUGAGAUUCCUAAUUAUUCUUAUUCCUAAUCUUAGUUUAUUAGGAUUAACAAUUCUACCAUAUAAACCCAAUUUUUCUAGGUAUUUUGAUAGACAAUAUUAAGGUUAUCAUUGAUUUUGAAAAUUCAUACGAUCGAGAAUUUGUAGCUCUUCCCCUUUGCGUUCAAUUGGUUCUAUAUCAAUUUGGUAUCACAGCCUCUUUGAUCUGUUACCUGUGUGCAAUUAGAACCCAACUCAAGUUUCUUUCCCUAGCUUCCUGAGAAGAAGAAAAUUCCCAAAGUUCCUCAACACAGCCCCUCUAUUCCCUAAGCCUUCAUUAACCAUUGCGCCAUCACCCAAUCAGAGUUUUUGGUUUCUUUCCUUCCCUCAUUUACUUUUUUUUGUUUGAUUAAACAAAAGGAA
rnacentral:misc_RNA from 1 species